rnacentral:rRNA from 1 species
ACUCAAAGGAAUAGACGGGGGCCCGCACAAGCGGCGGAGCAUGUUGCUUAAUUCGAUGCAACGCGAAGAACCUUACCUGGGUUGAACUACGCGGGAAAAGCCACAGAGAUGUGGUGUCCGAAAGGGCCCGCGAUAGGUGGUGCAUGGCUGUCGUCAGCUCGUGUCGUGAGAUGUUGGGUUAAGUCCCGCAACGAGCGCAACCCUUAUCCUAUGUUGCCAGCGGAUCAUGCCGGGGACUCGUAGGAGACUGCCGGGGUCAACUCGGAGGAAGGUGGGGAUGACGUCAAGUCAGCAUGCACCUUAUGUCCAGGGCUGCAAACAUGCUACAAUGGCCGGUACAAAGGGUCGCAAAUCCGCGAGGAUAAGCCAAUCCCAGAAAGCCGGUCUCAGUUCGGAUCGGAGUCUGCAACUCGACUCCGUGAAGUCGGAGUCGCUAGUAAUCCCGAAUCAGCAACGUCGGGGUGAAUACGUUCCCGGGCCUUGCACACACCGCCCGU